GACGAACGCUGGCGGCGUGCUUAACACAUGCAAGUCGAACGGAAAGGCCCUGCUUGCAGGGUACUCGAGUGGCGAACGGGUGAGUAACACGUGGGUGAUCUGCCCUGCACUUCGGGAUAAGCCUGGGAAACUGGGUCUAAUACCGGCUAGGAGCCAUUUUUAGUGUGAUGGUUGGAAAGUUUUUUCGGUGUAGGAUGAGGUCGCGGCCUAUCAGCUUGUUGGUGGGGUAAUGGCCUACCAAGGCGGCGACGGGUAGCCGGCCUGAGAGGGUGGACGGCCACAUUGGGACUGAGAUGCGGCCCAGACUCCGACGGGAGGCAGAAGUGGGGAAGAUUGCACAAUGGGCGCAAGCCUGAUGCAGCGACGCCGCGGGGGGGAGGACGGCCUUCGGGUUGUAGACUACUUUCGCUAGGGACGAAGCUUUUUGUGACGGUACCUAGAGAAGAAGCACCGGCUAACUACGUG
rnacentral:rRNA from 1 species